ensembl:snRNA U6 U6 spliceosomal RNA
GUGCUUGCUGGAGCAGUACAUACACUAAAGGUGGAACAACACAGAUGUCAGUCAGCAUGGUCCCUGUGCAAGGAUAACCCUCAAAUUUAUGAAGCUCUCCCUGUUUUU